rnacentral:rRNA from 1 species
AGCAAUCGAAGCAGUGAACUUAAGCCCCAGUAAACGGCGGCCGUAACUAUAACGGUCCUAAGGUAGCGAAAUUCCUUGUCGGGUAAGUUCCGACCCGCACGAAAGGCGUAACGAUUUGGGCACUGUCUCAACAACAGACUCGGUGAAAUUGUAAUUCCGGUGAAGAUGCCGGAUACCUGCGACAGGACGGAGAGACCCCAUGGAGCUUUACUGUAGCUUGACAUUGGGUCUUGGUACUACAUGUACAGGAGAGGUGGGAGGCUUUGAAACCAGGACGACAGUUUUGGCGGAGCCAUCCUUGGGAUACCACCCUUGUAGUACUGGGACUCUAACCAUAGGCCAUGAAUCUGGUCUUGGGACACUGUCAGGUGGGCAGUUUGACUGGGGCGGUCGCCUCCCAAAAGG